rnacentral:sRNA from 1 species
UACAAAGUUUCGGCUCACUUAAGGGAAGUUGGCUCAUCCCCUCUGAAAGGGGAUGGUGUACAUGACAACAUUCGAAACAAUCUCUUUAAUGAUUGCGUUCGGCAUGUUAAUUGCCGUGUUGUCUAAGAAAGAAAAAUAGACUUCCCGUGAGAUGUAUCUGGAAAAAGGAGGAUUUUCACAAGAAGCCUUUAUCCAUAUUCUUAUUAUAAGACUCUAUACGAAUUGCGGACUGUUUCGUUUUUCCA